rnacentral:misc_RNA from 1 species
UGGUGCUUUCACUUGGAGUGCACUGGUGCGCGCCCGGGCGUGAUUGCACUUGAGAGCUUCCAGUAACAGGGGCAGUCGUGCAUACGGUGAUCUCCAUCGCCGCCUCCCUGUAGAGUCGCCAAGCUGCUCUAUUUGCUUCUUUGUAGCGUCUGUGCAGCGCAGGCUUUGUCUGUAGGUGACUGUCCGCUGCAGCCGCCACUUGCUCGCUCUUUCACAACAUCACGCAUUUCGCGAGCGCCUUCCGGAUUACAUUUUUUCGUUUCUCUUUUUUUUUGUAGUUGUAGGUAUGCGGCGUCGCGUCGGCGUCGGUCACGUGCUGCAGGAGCGCCAGCAGCAGCAGCGGAUGGCAGAUCUCGGCGCUCAGAUUACGGCGGAGCGCGUGGGGCAAAUCGAGGACCAGCUGGAGGAGCUCCAGGCACAGCUCAAAGCGCUGGCGCAGAAUCAUAAGUCUGAAAUCACGGAAGACCCCGUCGUUCGUGCGCGCUUUCGCCAGCUGGCCGACUCACUCGGUGUCGACCUCAUCUCGUCCAAGAAGAACGUGUUUGCCGACGCUCUCGGACUCGGCGACUUCUACUACCAGCUUGCCAGUCGCACCGUCGAAGUGUGUAUGCGAGAGCGCAAGUUCUGCGGCGCCUACGUGCCGCUGCAGCGUGUCCAGUUCUUUGUGCAGAAGGCCUACGACGCCAGCUCGCUGCUGGGCGGAAACGCGCAGAACUGUCAUCAUGCCCUGCAGCACAGCAGCGGCAGCGGUAGCAGCAAGUGUGGCCGCCGUGAUGAGGGAAAGCAGAUCGUCAUCUCGGAGGCCGACAUCCUGACGGCGCUCUCCAAACUCUCAGUACUCGGCGCCGGCUACAACGUGGUGAAGUUAGGUGGAGUCUCCUACAUCCAGACCACCCCAGACGGCGCGCGUGGCGGAGACCAUGUGCUGCUGCUGAACUACGUGCUCGGACUGCAGAAGGAGAAGAUAGAGAAGGCCAAACAAGCUGCUGUGGAGGAGCAAAGAAAGAGCGCGCCAAUGGCGUCGGAGGGUAGCACGCGGGCGACUGCGGUGGGCGGAAGCGGCCACCGCAGCGGUGUAGGCGCCGCGUACGCCUUGGGUGCCCAUCCCUUUGACCUCGGCAAGGGCAAGGACAGCGAAACAAACGUCUCCUUGUCGUUUUCACAGCAGUGCGUGGCUGUGCGGGAGUCGCAAGUCGCAAGCGGGCUCCACUGGGAGACGCACCGCGCUCGAGCGGCGCUGAAGCGGAUGGUGCAGGAAGGCACGGUGUGGGUCGAAGAGUCGCAGGACAAGUCCGUCGGUCGUGUCACCACGGCUGGUGCCCGUGGCGGCUCCCCGGCAAAGUCGAAGGCCAUCCUGUCGUCCACUGAAGAAGUAAAGGAGGUGUGGAAGCGCAAGCACACGCGCAUGGCGGAGGCCGCAGACAAGAAGGACGUUGUAUACUGGUUUGUGUCACUGACCUCGCAUGGAUGACGGCAAAGAGGUGGUGGCGGAGACGGGACCUCACAAUUUUAGCUGCCGCCGGUUCAAGGUCGCCGCUGAAGAGGAGGGUACAUGUGUGCGCAUCUUUUGGCAAGUGGACCUUUUUCAUAUCUGAUGUUGGUGGUCGGUCUGCUUUGCAUCUGUGCUGCGCAUUUCCCGAUGCUGCGUCCCCGCUGAACUGUGCCCCGACUCGCCUCCGGCGAGGUGGAGACAAGAGCAAACGAGAAGAAAGCGCAUACAUCCGCAGGCAAGAAUCGUUUCUCUGCGGCAUGUGCGUCCAUUCGGUGCUGUACUGGGGCAGCGCGGCGCUGGCGCACUGAAAAGAAAAGAUCUUGCGUAAUCAGUGGCAUACAUGCAAUGAGACACGCAAGGAGCGUGCGGAGAUGAGAGCCCUUGGCGUGCAGAUACGCAUAUUAGUAUAU